UACGUAGGGUGCAAGCGUUGUCCGGAAUUAUUGGGCGUAAAGAGCUCGUAGGCGGUCUGUCGCGUCUGGUGUGAAAAUCCAGGGCUUAACCCUGGACCUGCAUCGGGUACGGGCAGACUAGAGUGCGGUAGGGGAGAUCGGAAUUCCUGGUGUAGCGGUGAAAUGCGCAGAUAUCAGGAGGAACACCGGUGGCGAAGGCGGAUCUCUGGGCCGAAUACUGACGCUGAGGAGCGAAAGCGUGGGGAGCGAACAGG
rnacentral:rRNA from 1 species